rnacentral:lncRNA from 1 species
ACAUACACUGCUUCUGAUGAAGUCUGUGAGUCAGGCUGUUUCUGAGCUCCGAUAGUUUAAUGGAAAGAUUUAUAUACCGGCUGUAUUAUUUACUUUGGGAGGGGAGGUGGCAGUAUAAGGGUAUGCUAAUUAGUAGGAGAUUUUGGGGGGAAGGGGUGGAAUAUCAAUUUUUAUUGCAUCACCUGUCAGGAGUGUCCAAUCAGCGUUGGCUUUAGGGGAAUUAAUUGAUGAAGGUGUCUCCGGACGAGCUCACUUCACUCUGUCAUUUUAUUUGUAGCUAAAGCAGCGGCGGGAAUAGCAGCUGCAUUUCUUUUCUCUUUCUCCCUUCACAUUCCAUUAUCAUAGUGCUCCAAUGGAGAAGGAAGGAGUAGCGGGGCCCAGGUACUGAUCCGCAUCGAGGACUCAGACCAACACACUGGCAGAGCUGAAACCGGAUGGUCUUUUCCCUCUUUUUUAAAAAAACGAAAACC